rnacentral:rRNA from 1 species
CCAAGCUACAAAGAGCCAACGGUGAAUGCCUUGGCGCCAAUAACCGAAGAAGGACGUGGAUGACUGCGAAAAGUUACGGUGAGCCGUCUAUCAGGCUUUGACCCGUAAAUGUCCGAAUGAGGAAACUCUGCACCCGUCAUGGGGUGCAACUCUGAAGUGAAUACAUAGCUUCAGUGGAGGGAACCGGGAGAAUUGAAACAUCUCAGUACCCCGAGGAAUGAAAAGCAAACGCGACUCCCUUAGUAGCGGCGAGCGAAGAGGGAAGAGACUAAACCGUGCUGGCGCAAUAGCCUGAUGGCGUUGCCAGUACGGUGUCGUGGGACGACUAGACACUGCAUCAGAAGUGUCGCGAAGUUACAAAGUUGCUAGGUAGAAGAAUUGUCUGGGAAGACAAGCCACAGUGGGUAAGAGCCCCGUAUUCGAAACUUAUGCAGCCUUCGAGUCCAAUCCCAAGUAAUGCCGGAUCCGAGCAAUCUGGCAUGAAUCCGUGGGGACCACCCCAUAAGUCUAAGUAUUUAUUGGCGACCGAUAGUGAACCAGUACCGUGAGGGAAAGGUGAAAAGAACCCCGGGAGGGGAGUGAAAUAGUACCUGAAACCGUUGGUUUACAAACAGUCAGAGAGUCGUUGUACCGUUCGCGGUGCAGCCUCGAUGGCGUGCCUUUUGAAGAAUGAGCCUACGAGUUACGGUAUGUGGCGAGGUUAACCCGUGAGGGGUAGCCGGAGCGAAAGCGAGUCUGAAUAGGGCGUUUAGUCGCAUGCUGUAGACCCGAAGCCAAGUGAUCUUGCCAUGGGCAGGUUGAAGCGGGGGUAAGACCCCGUGGAGGACCGAACACACGUCAGUUGAAAAUGGCGGUGAUGACCUGUGGUAAGGGGCGAAAGACCAAUCAAACUUGGCGAUAGCUGGUUCUCCUCGAAAUGCAUUUAGGUGCAGCGUCAUGCGUUCAGUACCGGAGGUAGAGCACUGGAUGGGUUAGGGGGCCUACAAGCUUACCGACCCCAGCCAAACUCCGAAUUACGGUACUCCAGAGCAUGGCAGUGAGACCACGGGGGAUGAGCUUCGUUGGUCGAAAGGGAAACAGCCCAGAUCAUCAUCUAAGGCCCCUAAUUCAGGACUAAGUGGAAAACGAUGUGAAACCGCAUAGACAGCCAGGAGGUUGGCUUAGAAGCAGCCACCCUUAAAAGAGUGCGUAACAGCUCACUGGUCGAGUGGUUUUGCGCGGACAAUAUAACGGGGCUCAAGUCCUGAGCCGAAGAUAUGGAUUGCAUCGACGUUCGCGUCGUUGCAGUGGUAGAGGAGCGUUGAUGCAGCAGUGAAGCGGCGGGGGAAGGCUAAUCCUCCCAGGGUAAGUCGGGAGCUAAGGAGAGGCCGCGAGGCGUAUCCGAUGCACAACUGGUUGAUAUUCCAGUACCGCCGUGUACACGUCAAGCCCAAGAACGAAAAAGUGGGGGCUGCCUUCGGGCGAACCCACGGCUUUGUUUGCGGGUAGUUGAAGGGGGACACAGGAGGGUAGAUGAUCCGGGGCGAUGGUAGUCCCCGGGUAAGCGUGUAGGAGGUUGCCGAUGAGAGUUGGUGACAUUAACUCCGAGACGCGAUGCCGAUCUCUUUUGAGAGAAGUCAUUGAUCCCACACUGUCGAGAAAAGCCCAGCAGCGAGUUGACACGGCGCCCGUACCCCAAACCGACUCAGGUGGGCGAGUAGAGAAUACUAAGGCGAUCGGGAGAACUAUGGUUAAGGAACUCGGCAAAAUGCCUCCGUAACUUCGGAAGAAGGAGGACCCUUUUUGGUAAUAGGACUUCGCGUUCUAGAGCAAGAAAGGGUGGCACAGAGCAGGGGGUAGCGACUGUUUAACAAAAACACAGCAGCGUGCCAAGCCGCAAGGCGAUGUAUACGCUGUGACGCCUGCCCAAUGCUGGAAGGUCACGAGGAACGGUUAGCCGUAAGGCGAAGCUGUGAAUCUAAGCCCCAGUGAAUGGCGGCCGUAACUAUAACGGUCCUAAGGUAGCGAAA